AUUGAACGCUGGCGGCAGGCCUAACACAUGCAAGUCGAGCGAGCGGCGGACGGGUGAGUAAUGUCUGGGGAACUGCCCGAUGGAGGGGGAUAACUACUGGAAACGGUGGCUAAUACCGCAUACUAUCGGAUGUGCCCAGAUGGGAUUAGCUAGUAGGUGGGGUAAAGGCUCACCUAGGCGACGAUCCCUAGCUGGUCUGAGAGGAUGAUCAGCCACACUGGAACUGAGACACGGCCCAGACUCCUACGGGAGGCAGCAGUGGGGAAUAUUGCACAAUGGGCGCAAGCCUGAUGCAGCCAUGCCGCGUGUAUGAAGAAGGCCUUAGGGUUGUAAAGUACUUUCAGCGGGGAGGCGUUACCCGCAGAAGAAGCACCGGCUAACUCCGUGCCAGCAGCCGCGGUAAUAC
rnacentral:rRNA from 1 species